CCUACGGGUGGCUGCAGUGAGGAAUAUUGGUCAAUGGGCGCGAGCCUGAACCCGCCAAGUAGCGUGAAUGAUGACUGCCCUACGGGUUGUAAACUUCUUUUAUAAAGGAAUAAAGUGAGGCACGUGUGCCUUUUUGUAUUUAUUUUAUGAAUAAGGAUCGGCUAACUCCGUUCCAGCAGCCGCGGUAAUACGGCGGAUCCGAGCGUUAUCCGGAUUUAUUGGGUGUAAAGGGAGCGUAGAUGGGUUGUUAAGUCAGUUGUGAAAGUUUGCGGCUCAACCGUUAAAUUGCAAUUGAUACUGGCAGCCUUGAGUACAGUUGAGGUAGGCGGAAUUCGUGGUGUAGCGGUGAAAUGCUUAGAUAGCACGAAGAACUCCGAUUGCGAAGGCAGCCUGCUAAACUGCCACUGACAUUGAUGCUCGAAAGUGUGGGUAUCAAACAGGAUUAGAUACCCGAGUAGUC
rnacentral:rRNA from 1 species